GGAGGCAGCAGCAGGGAAUCUUGCGCAAUGGGCGAAAGCCUGACGCAGCGACGCCGCGUGGGGGAAGAAGGCCUUAGGGUUGUAAACCCCUUUUAUGGGGGAAGAGAUAGGACGGUACCUCAGGAAUAAGCAUCGGCUAACUACGUGCCAGCAGCCGCGGUAAUACGUAGGAUGCAAGCGUUGUCCGGAUUUACUGGGCGUAAAGGGUGUGUAGGCGGCAUGAUAAGUCUCAUGUGAAAUCUCCCGGCUCAACUGGGAGAGGUCAUGGGAAACUGUCAAGCUGGAGGGCAGCAGAGGAAAGCGGAAUUCCCGGUGUAGCGGUGGAAUGCGUAGAUAUCGGGAGGAACACCAGUGGCGAAGGCGGCUUUCUGGGCUGUACCUGACGCUGAGACACGAAAGCGUGGGGAGCAAACCGGAUUAGAUACCCGGGUAGUCCACGCCCUAAACGAUGGAUACUAGAUAUAGGGGGUAUNGA
rnacentral:rRNA from 1 species